rnacentral:rRNA from 1 species
AGCGAACGCUGGCGGCAGGCUUAACACAUGCAAGUCGAGCGGGCACUUUCGGGUGUCAGCGGCGGACGGGUGAGUAACGCGUGGGAACGUGCCCUCUGGUUCGGAAUAACUCAGGGAAACUUGAGCUAAUACCGGAUACGCCCUUUUGGGGAAAGGCUUGCUGCCGGAGGAUCGGCCCGCGUCUGAUUAGCUAGUUGGUGCGGUAACGGGUCACCAAGGCGACGAACAGUAGCUGGUCUGAGAGGAUGAUCAACCACACUGGGACUGAGACACGGCCCAGACUCCUACGGGAGGCAGCAGUGGGGAAUAUUGGACACUGGGUGAAAGCCUGAGCCAGCCAGGCCGCGUGAGUGAUGAAGGCGUUAGGGUUGUAAAGCUCUUUUAUCCGGGACGAUAAUGACGGUACCGGAGAAAUAAGCCCCGGCUAACUUCGG